GAUGAACGCUGGCGGCGUGCCUAAUACAUGCAAGUCGAGCGAAUGGAUUAAGAGCUUGCUCUUAUGAAGUUAGCGGCGGACGGGUGAGUAACACGUGGGUAACCUGCCCAUAAGACUGGGAUAACUCCGGGAAACCGGGGCUAAUACCGGAUAACAUUUGGAACCGCAUGGUUCGAAAUUGAAAGGCGGCUUCGGCUGUCACUUAUGGAUGGACCCGCGUCGCAUUAGCUAGUUGGUGAGGUAACGGCUCACCAAGGAAACGAUGCGUAGCCGACCUGAGAGGGUGAUCCGCCACACUGGGACUGAGACACGGCCCAGACUCCUACGGGAGGCAGCAGUAGGGAAUCUUGCGCAAUGGACGAAAGUCUGACGGAGCAACGCCGCGUGAGUGAUGAAGGCUUUCGGGUCGUAAAACUCUGUUGUUAGGGAAGAACAAGUGCUAGUUGAAUAAGCUGGCACCUUGACGGUACCUAACCAGAAAGCCACGGCUAACUACGUGCCAGCCGCCGCAGUAA
rnacentral:rRNA from 1 species